rnacentral:lncRNA from 1 species
AUGCAACACAGGUACAUGUGGCCACUGGGUUCUCAUAGCCGUCUAAAGAGGUAGCCGUUAUUCUUAUUCUUGGUCCCUUUGCAGGUUAGAGAGCCAAGCAGUGAGCUUACAAGACUGCUUACCCGAGUCUCAUAAGCAGUAGAACUAGGCUGGAACCCAUGGACGCUGCACUACCAUCACACCACAGCUGGUUGUAUCCCAGUCACACACCCCCAGGAAAGAGCCUGGAGGGGUCUCAGGGGCCAAACCCAGCACCCAGAUCUUCAGUUGGCCAAGCAGGCACUUGCAGGGGUCAGAGGGGUGCGGAGGAACAGCACCAGGACCCUGAGGCGAUGAAUGCCUGUGGCUCAUAGCUGCUGAGCUCUUGGUCUUCCGUCACAGCCGCUGCAGGAAGAAACACAGCAAGCAAAGUCCCCUCCCCUACGGCCCACCCUACGUGCUCAGAACCCAGCCUGGGAAGAUGAACUUGCAUCUGGGCAGAGAAGUGAGUGGGGAAACCAAGAGGCCGUCUUCCAAGCCGGCUCUACAGCCCGGUCCAGCUCAACACUGCAGGGAGAGGGCAGCCGGGGAGGGUCUCUGGAGAUGCUAUCAGGACCCCACUCCAGGACCCAGAAACCAAAAACACCCAGGAAAAUGGAGAGGGUAAGUUCCUUCAAAAUCUGCUGCCUUGGACUUUGCUUUUGAAUAACCACUCUUUUCCAGUGUAGCACAGGAAAUACCAUCUCAUUCCCAGUACUGGCUACGUAGGUGCCUAUUGCAGGAUGCCUUAGAGACAGGAAAGUCUUGUGUUAGAGGGGGUGCUAGGAAUCAAAGAUGGUGUUGAAAUGCAAAAAUUGGUUUAACAUAUCCGAUGGCCUUCUGGCCAACAAGAGGGUAUAUCGAAUGAAACUUGGAGAGGAGGUAUUUUGCUCAGAGAAACUCUGAUUGAAUCAAGGUGACAUUGAGCUGCAAACAAAGGUGGGUAAGGGGCCCAACUCCCAGACCACACAGGAAAGGCAGCUGCCCAGGAGACGAUCAGGUGCCGGGCCAAACUAGGAAUGACAGGCAGGGAAUGUUCUGGAACUCCCAGGGAAGGGCAUGAUUAGGAAGAGGGCUUGAAAUGAUCUCACCCUCAGGUGCAUUCAUGCCCACACACGGAGCUGGCGAGCGAGUGGGAGGCUUGCAGAUGGGCACAAGGAUUGAAGGUGGGCUCAGGGGUCCCUGACCCUGCUGCCUGUGGCCAUGGCAGGGCUGAGAGUGCAGUGUGUGUGUUGUGGCUGUGCAAGGUGGCGCAGGAGAGGAAGGGAGGUCUUGCACCAGGGAGCUGCUGCAUGGUCCCAGAAGACUCCCCCAGCACGGGUCCAGCACCAGGUU